rnacentral:rRNA from 1 species
AUGCACGUAGGUGGGUUUGUAAGCCAGAUGUGAAAGCCUCCUGUUCAACGGGAGGAUUGCAUCUGAAACUACUGAUCUUGAGUGUAGGAGGGGAGAAUGGAACUUCUGGUGGAGCGGUGAAAUGCGUAGAUAUCAGAAGGAACGCCGGCGGCGAAAGCGAUUCUCUGGCCUAUUACUGACACUCAGUGUGCGAAAGCUAGGGGAGCAAACGGGAUUAGAUACCCCGGUAGUCCUAGCCGUAAACGAUGGGCACUAAGUAGAGGGGUUUU